rnacentral:rRNA from 1 species
GUGAGGAAUAUUGGUCAAUGGACGAGAGUCUGAACCAGCCAAGUCGCGUGAAGGAAGACGGUUCUAUGAAUUGUAAACUUCUUUUGUGCAGGAAUAAAGUGGGUUACGUGUAACCUUUUGUAUGUACUGUACGAAUAAGGAUCGGCUAACUCCGUGCCAGCAGCCGCGGUAAUACGGAGGAUCCGAGCGUUAUCCGGAUUUAUUGGGUUUAAAGGGUGCGUAGGUGGAUUGAUAAGUCAGCGGUGAAAGUUUGCAGCUUAACGGUAAAAUUGCCGUUGAAACUGUCGGUCUUGAGUGCAAAUGAGGUAGGCGGAAUGUGUUGUGUAGCGGUGAAAUGCUUAGAUAUAACACAGAACUCCGAUUGCGAAGGCAGCUUACUGGGAUGCAACUGACACUGAUGCACGAAAGCGUGCGUAUCAAACAGGAUUAGAAACCCCAGUAGUCC